rnacentral:lncRNA from 1 species
GUAAGAUUUAGGAGACUGAGUAAGAGCAAUGCCAGACCAGUUGGAUCUAGUACAAAGGAGAGUUUAUAUUCAUAUCAUAUAAUCAUGGUGUCUAUCUCAAUUUUCAUUUAAUUUGUCUCUGGACUAUGGUUCGAUUCAGUUAAGUAUCAAACAUUUGAUGUUAAAUUUAAGAUUAAUAGUAAUUGUGUAUAUAUAAACAAAACAAUAAUUGGGCAGUGUAUAUAAAAACAAAACAAUAAGAUGGCAGUGUAUAUAAAAACAAAAGUAAGUGGGCAGUGUAUAUAAAAACAAAACAAUAAGAUGGUAGUGUAUAUAAAAACAAAACAAUAAGUGGGCAGUGUAUAUAAAAACAAAACAAUGAGUGUGCAGUGUAUAUAAAAACAAAACAAUAAGUGGGCAGUGUAUAUAAAAACAAAACAAUGAGUGUGCAGUGUAUAUGAAAACAAAACAAUAAGUGGGCAGUGUAUAUAAAAACAAAACAAUAAGUGUUGUUACAGCCAAAAAAUGCCAUUUGAAUGGAAAGCAAAGGAUGAUAGGCAUUAAAGGUAGCUGAAUCUGUCUAAGAUCAGAUUUGCUUGUGGGAGCA